GUGCCAGCCGCCGCGGUAAUACCGGCGCCUCAAGUGGUAGUCGCUUUUAUUGGGCCUAAAACGUCCGUAGCCUGUUUGGUAAAUCUGUGGGUAAAUCAACCAGCUUAACUGGUUGAAUUCUGCAGAGACUGCCAGACUAGGGACCGGGAGAGGUGUGGGGUACUCUAGGGGUAGGGGUAAAAUCCUGUCAUCCUUAGAGGACCACCAGUUGCGAAGGCGCCACACUAGAACGGAUCCGACGGUCAGGGACGAAGCCUAGGGGCACGAACCGGAUUAGAUACCCGGGUAGUCCUAGGUGUAAACGCUGUGGACUUGAUGUUGGGGGUGCUCCGAGCACUCUCAGUGUCGAAGCGAAGGUGAUAAGUCCACUGCCUGGGAAGUACGGUCGCAAGGCUGAAACUUAAAGGAAUUGGCGGGGGAGCACCGCAACCUGAGGAUUGUGCGGUUUAAUUGGAUUCAACGCCGGAAAACUCACCAUAGCCGACGGACAUAUGAAGGUCAGUGUAAUGAACUUACCCGAUUGUUCGAGAGGUAGUGCAUGGCCGCCGUCAGUUCGUACCGCAAGGCGUUCUGUUAAGUCAGAUAACGAACGAGACCCUCAUCUCUAUUUGCUAACUAGAUCUCCGGAUUUAGUGCACUAUAGAGAGACCGCUGGCGCUAAGUCAGAGGAAGGGGAGGGCAACGGUAGGUCAGUAUGCUCCGAAUGCUAUGGGCUACACGCGCAAUACAAAGGACGGGACAAUGGGCUGCUGCUCCGAAAGGAACGAUAGCUAUCCCGAAACCCGUUCGUAGUUCGGAUUGAGGGCUGUAACUCGCCCUCAUGAAGCUGGAUUAGGUAGUAAUCGCGUCUCAAAAAGGCGCGGUGAAUAUGCCCCUGCUCCUUGCACACACCGCCCGUC
rnacentral:rRNA from 1 species